rnacentral:rRNA from 1 species
UACAGAGGGGGCUAGCGUUGUUCGGAAUUACUGGGCGUAAAGGGCGCGUAGGUGGCCUGUUAAGUCGAACGUGAAAUCCCCGGGCUCAACCCGGGAACUGCGUCCGAGACUGGCAGGCUCGAAUCCGGGAGAGGGAUGUGGAAUUCCAGGUGUAGCGGUGAAAUGCGUAGAUAUCUGGAGGAACACCGGUGGCGAAGGCGGCAUCCUGGACCAACACUGACACUGAGGCGCGAAAGCCAGGGGAGCGAACGGG